GAUGAACGCUAGCGGCAGGCUUAGCACAUGCAAGUCGAGGGGCAGCGUGAGGGUUAGCAAUAACCCUUGACGGCGACCGGCGCAAGGGUGCGUAACGCGUGAGCAACUUGCCCUUAUCAGGGGGAUAACCGGUGGAAACGCCGACUAAUACCCCAUGGCAUUGGUUGGAGGCAUCUCCUUCCAAUUAAAGAGUUUCGGAUAAGGAUAGGCUCGCGUGACAUUAGCUAGACGGCGGGGUAACGGCUCACCAAGUCGACGAUCAGUAGCCGGACUGAGAGGUUGAACGGCCACAUUGGGACUGAGACACGGCCCAGACUCCUACGGGAGGCAGCAGUGGGGGAUAUUGGACAAUGGGGGCAACCCUGAUCCAGCGAUGCCGCGUGAGGGAAGAAGGUUUUCGGAUUGUAAACCUCUGUUGACAGGGACGAUAAUGACGGUACCUGUUUAGAAAGCCACGGCUAACUACGUG
rnacentral:rRNA from 1 species